GGAGCGAUAAUUUAGUAGGUUAAAAUGUUGGCUUGUCACGUCAAAUAUCGCGGGUUCGAUUCCCGUUCGUUCCG
rnacentral:tRNA from 1 species